UUCAGCGAACUGGUCAAGUGGUUAAACACUGGGCUUCUGAUCGGGAGGUUGCGGGUUCAAACCUCGGCGCGUUGAAA